GAUGAACGCUGGCGGCGUGCUUAACACAUGCAAGUCGAACGGAAAGGCUCCUGCUUGCAGGGGUACUCGAGUGGCGAACGGGUGAGUAACACGUGGGUGAUCUGCCCUGCACUUCGGGAUAAGCCUGGGAAACUGGGUCUAAUACCGGAUAGGACGAUGGUUUGGAUGCCAUUGUGGAAAGGUUUUCGGUGUGGGAUGAGCUCGCGGCCUAUCAGCUUGUUGGUGGGGUAAUGGCCUACCAAGGCGUCGACGGGUAGCCGGCCUGAGAGGGUGUACGGCCACAUUGGGACUGAGAUACGGCCCAGACUCCUACGGGAGGCAGCAGUGGGGAAUAUUGCACAAUGGGCGCAAGCCUGAUGCAGCGACGCCGCGUGGGGGAUGACGGCCUUCGGGUUGUAAACUCCUUUCGCUAGGGACGAAGCGCAAGUGACGGUACCUGGAGAAGAAGCACCGGCUAACUACGUG
rnacentral:rRNA from 1 species